UACGUAGGUGGCAAGCGUUGUCCGGAAUUAUUGGGCGUAAAGCGCGCGCAGGCGGUCCUUUAAGUCCGAUGUGAAAGCCCACGGCUCACCCGCGGAGGGUCAUUGGAAACUGGGGGACUUGAGUACAGAAGAGGAAAGCGGAAUUCCACGUGUAGCGGUGAAAUGCGUAGAGAUGUGGAGGAACACCAGUGGCGAAGGGGGAUUUCUGGUCUGUAACUGGCGCUGAGGCGCGAAAGCGUGGGGAGCAAACAGG
rnacentral:misc_RNA from 1 species